AAUACGACUCUCGGCAACGGAUAUCUCGGCUCUCGCAUCGAUGAAGAACGUAGCGAAAUGCGAUACUUGGUGUGAAUUGCAGAAUCCCGUGAACCAUCGAGUCUUUGAACGCAAGUUGCGCCCAAAGCCGUUAGGCUGAGGGCACGUCUGCCUGGGUGUCACAC
rnacentral:rRNA from 1 species